rnacentral:lncRNA from 1 species
UGAAAAAUGAAAAAUGUUGAAUUUUCAUCUUUAAUUUUUUUUUCUCAAAAAUGAAAAUGUUUUUUUUUUGUGUUGAGGAUUUUUCAAUUUGUUUAAUCAAAGUUUUGUUUUUAUGCUUUAAAUAUAAUACACAUAUGUGUAUGUGUGAACCCGUGUAUACACAUUUAUUACCUUACCCCGAAAAGAUAGGAGAACAACAACGCACCAGCAAAAUUUUGUGAUGUGGCGC